AUUGAACGCUGGCGGCAGGCCUAACACAUGCAAGUCGAACGAGUGGCGGACGGGUGAGUAAUGUCUGGGAAACUGCCUGAUGGAGGGGGAUAACUACUGGAAACGGUAGAUAAUACCGCAUAACAUCAGAUGUGCCCAGAUUGGAUUAGCUAGUGGGUGUGGUAACGUCUCACCAAGGCGACGAUCCCUAGCUGGUCUGAGAGGAUGACCAGCCACACUGGAACUGAGACACGGUCCAGACUCCUACGGGAGGCAGCAGUGGGGAAUAUUGGACAAUGGGCGAAAGCCUGACGCAGCCACGCCGCGUGUAUGAAGAAGGCUUUCGGGUUGUAAAGUACUUUCAGCGGGGAGGCGUUACCCGCAGAGGAAGCACCGGCUAACUCCGUGCCAGCAGCCGCGGUAAUUC
rnacentral:rRNA from 1 species